GUUUCAGGGCGGGGUGAAAGUCCCCACCGGUGGUGAGGCCCAAGGGCCAAGCCCACGACCGCUUUUCCCGGUGAAAGGCGCUGAUCUGGUGAAAUUCCAGAGCCGACGGUCAAAGUCCGGAUGAAAGAAA
rnacentral:ncRNA from 1 species